rnacentral:rRNA from 1 species
UACGUAGGGGGCAAGCGUUAUCCGGAUUUACUGGGUGUAAAGGGAGCGUAGGCGGCGACGCAAGUCAGAAGUGAAAGCCCGGGGCUCAACUCCGGGACUGCUUUUGAAACUGCGUUGCUAGAUUGCGGGAGAGGCAAGUGGAAUUCCUAGUGUAGCGGUGAAAUGCGUAGAUAUCGAGAGGAACACUCGUGGCGAAGGCGGGUUCCUGGACAUUAACUGACGCUGAGGCACGAAGGCCAGGGGAGCGAAAGGG